rfam:Gossypium hirsutum cultivar TM-1 chromosome 19, whole genome shotgun sequence
CACGUCAGCGCGCUUUGCUGACGUGGCAACAAAUUGCCCCCUCGAGGAUGUGAUUUGUUGCCACGUCAGCAAAGCGCAUUGACGUGG